CACUGCCAUCCUGGUGGUGGAUUUCAGCAGCUUGUCCAAGCGAGUUUGCAGAUGGAGUAGCAUCAUCCCAGUCUAUGGAUGACUCCUCCCACGAUGUUCUUACCAGACAAGCAACAGCUCUUGUAUUGACUGCAAGAGAGAAACCUCGUCUUUCACAGGUUUGUGCUCAUACAAAAUUAGAAUAAUUAUUUUAUUUAUGGUUUUUUUCUCAUUAUUUAUUAUUAACAUUUUUGCCUAAACCACAUGUGUCAAAGUCAAGGCCCGCGGGCCACAUCCGGCCCGGCGUACAUUUAUAUCCGGCCCGCGAGAUCAUUUUAUAUAGAUUUAUUAUUAUUGUUAUGCAUGGCCCGGCGGUAUAAGGUGCUAAUAACACACAAAAUACAGAUCCCAUAAUGCAGCGCUGCAGCCUCCUUUCCGAACGCUAGACUACCUGGGAACAUUCACGCGUCAAUCAAGUCAGACUUUGGUUAGCUAGUCCCUCACAAUGGCGACGAGAAAAGUUGAUUCUGAAAACGGAGCCUCUCAGCACCGGCGGCGGUAGACUGAAUAUAUGUUUACAAACUUUGCUGGUAAACCCGUAUCUUAUUUGUGGAGCUAAUGUGGCUGUAAUUAAGGGAUUUCAUUUAAGACAGCACUACGAGUCAAAACAUAAGCUGAAAAACCAAAAUGCAGAAACUACAGAAGGUAGAAGAGCUAAAGAAGAAUCUGACAUUUCAGCAGACGUUUGUCACCAGAGCAAAAUCACAAAGUGAAGGUGUUGUGAAAGCAAGUUUUAUUGUAGCAGAGGAGAUAGCCAAAUCAAAUGCUACUCCAUCUGCAAACUCGCUUGGCCAAGCUGCUGAAAUCCACCACCAGGAUGGCAGUGAUGAAGAAUGUAAGUUUAAUAUAAUACACCCUCUUAAUACACCCUGAGUGUAUAUGUGGUUUGGAGGAUACUUUUUUGUUUUCUUAAAAAUUCACCUAACAAUGGAAUCCAACUACUUCACUGUUUAUCUUGCAAACUUUGCGUUCCAUUUAAUAGUGACAACUUGACAGGACGAAUGAACAAUUUGAGGAUAGGUGGUUAGUUAAUUUGUUUAUCUAAUUUACAGAUAUAUUUUGGUAUUUUUGUUUUAUUGUUUUGCACCAAUAACAGAUAUAUAAAGCCUUACCGUGGCAAUAAAUGAUUUACACUCCAAGAAAUAUACAAGACCAAAAAACCAAACAAAGCUGCUGUUAAACACCUGCUGAACCUGCAGUUUGAGUCUAGAAGACAAUUCAUUAACUCUGAUGCUAUAAAGGAGCAGGACAGAGCAAUGAAGAUACUAGAGGCAUAUCCUUGUUUCAGAGAACUGGAUCAUGUAAGCAGCACUUAUUUCUUUUACCCAUCCUGUUAUUCCUUUGGGGACAUUUUGAUAUGAUUUUCAAAUUUCUUAAAUACUGGCCCUCAUGUUUAAAUUGUUAUCACUUAUUGUCAAGACCAGAUACAGAACUAGACAGAUCUAUCUUAGUUGGGUUUCUGUAUGUAUUUUUCAGGUCCUUGAUGAGCUGCGGAGAAUUAUUCAACCAUCCAACUCGAAAUACAUUCUGAGAUGAAGGAUAGAUGGGAAAUCUUCUACUCGAAGAUGCAGUUUUAUGGUGUUAUGAAGAAAGUUAUGAAGCUGCCAAAAACUUUGGAUGGAGCACAGUACCACCUAAGAAGCUGGGCAUCUGUGGUGAGGCUUUUUUCCAUGCCCUAAAGUCGGUCAAAUAUUCUUAAAGUUCAGAUCCCCAUAACAUGUGGAGCUUCUUGGAUGAGAGGCGAAGCGUCUUCAAGCAACCUAAAGAAGUCAAGACGCUUUUCUUUCCAAGCUCCUUAGACGGCAGACUAUUAUGCAACUUUUUUGCUGGUCCGGCCAACAAGAGAUCAAACUGAGCUGUACAGAACCAAUCUACUAAUAUAUAUAAACCAGCCACACAUCAGACCUAGACAGACUUAGCAACUUAUACUAAUGAUGCUGUCAUUGCUGUUGCUGCUGGCUCUCUCCUCAGCCAGUCCUCAGGACAUCGUGAAGAAGCCCUCAGACGGCAGACAUGUGACCUCUUUGAAUCAAGAUCAGGAGGACAAAAUUCCUGAAAUGACAGACAUCUCAGUUAACACAUCAGUAUAUCAACAGCUUCUGUUUCCCAGAAGGACAAAACAGAAAAGGCAGACGUUUGAAAAUAAGUUCGUGAAAUGGCAGACCUGGAAUGGUUCUCUCCCUGAAGGAGCAGUGGGAGCUUACAACUACUUGGACCAUGCUGUUUAUGUCUGCAAAUAUGGAUGCGAAGCUGGUUUCUACAGCAGUAGCUUGGGAGAUUUUUGCCACUAUCCGAUUGACGGCAAAGAGCAACGUUCAGGCUCAUUUGAUAUUCUUGUGAAUGAAAACAACUUUGAGAGCCUGGACUGGAAGGAAGGUUCCAAUGGUUCAGUGUACGAACAUGUAUUUAGAACAUGUUCUAGUGAUGAGUUUUAUAUUGGAAAAACUUGGUUUUUUGGUCUAGGUAAAGUGCAUCCUAGUCGUGGGUUGUUUUAUUUUCUUCUUAGAGGUACAGAACACAGUACUCCAUACUAUGAGGUGCUGACCAUCAAUAGGGAUAUUGACAAUGAGCUCAUCUCUCAUGUCACGUAUAAAACUAAUGAUGCUAAAAUCAUCCGGUAUCCUCCAUCGAUCAUAAGGGUUGAUCCCAUUUCUAACAAUGGAUGCAAUCCAGUGACAAAGACAAUUACUCUUUCACAGACAGUUUUAGAUGAUAAACGGUGGGAUCUUGGCGCUCUCCCCAUUGUUUAGUUCCAGGAAGACUUUCCAGACAGGAAUCCCUAACAUAGUAAAUGGAGCGAUUGAGGUUAGCACAACUGACAGCAUAUUGGACUUUACAGGAGUGCCGACUAAAACAGAACCGGUAAACCACUCUGCUAAAGUUCAGGUCUCCAUCCCACCAAACCACUUCUGCAUUGUCAAAAUGCUGGCUUACAAGUACAAUGUAAACAUGCCUUUCACUGCUCUUCUCUCCCGAAUAUACAAGAAGUUUAGGGUUAAAAAAUUACACAUCUCAGGAACAUACCACGGCCUCCAGGUUGGAGAGGUCCGUGCUGUGGUAGAAAGGUGUACUCACCUAAGUUCUGCACAGCCUUGCCCAUAAAAGACAUAAUAACACAAUUGUAAUCGUAGAUAUAGAUAGAUAGAGAGAGAGAGAGAGAGAGAUGUAUCGCCAGAUGUUCUUCGUACAGCUGAGAUCUUGAUUGAAGCAUAGAGGUGAUUGGGCCUUUGCUUUUGCAGCACAUAGUCUCUGAAUAACUUGGCAAUCGAUGUUUGUACUUCAGAGUCUAUACAGCCUUUCAAAUCGCGUCUUAAAACUCCCUUUUCAAUGUUGGCUUUUAAUUUAAGUACAGUUUAAAUUCCCUCAGGCUUGCGUUAUGUUAUGUAUUUCAUGUUAAAUAUAUUGACAUUCACUCAUCUCAUGUCUUAAUUUUCUGUUGUCUCUUGUUCAUAAGUAAUUGUGAACCACUUUGGUCAAUUUUGUUGCUUUUAAAUGUGCUAUAGAAAUAAAAAUGAUGCUUAAUUGAUUUAUUAAACUGUAAAGUAAAACUUAAUAUUGCAUGUUUAACCCAAAAUGAAAUAUAAAUGUCCACGAAAAGUGUG